rnacentral:rRNA from 1 species
UACACGCUGUGACUAGCAUAUCAAUAAGCGGAGGAAAAGAAACUAACAAGGAUUCCCCUAGUAACGGCGAGUGAAGCGGGAAGAGCUCAAAUUUGAAAUCUUAAAGGGUUUCCCUUUACGAAUUGUAGUUUAAAGAAGUGUUUUCUGUUGAGGUUUUGGUAAAAGUUCUUUGGAAUAGGACAUCAUAGAGGGUGAGAAUCCCGUAUUUGACCUUUACUUUCAACCUUGUGAUACACUUUCAAAGAGUCGGAUUGUUUGGGAAUGCAGUCCAAAAUGGGUGGUAAAUUUCAUCUAAAGCUAAAUAUUGGCGAGAGACCGAUAGCGAACAAGUACCGUGAGGGAAAGAUGAAAAGAACUUUGAAAAGAGAGUUAAACAGUACGUGAAAUUGUCAAAAGGGAAGCGUUUGACACCAGUGUUGUUUUUCUGAAAAUCAAUUAAAGAACUGUUUAUGCUAAGCUGUUUAGACUUUAUCAGCUAAUCUGUUUAGUUUUGAGCUUUUCUUUAAUGCACUUUUCAGUUAACAAGUCAACAUCAAUUUCUUUUGCUGUAAAAAAGCUUGAGGAAGGUGGCUUGAGAUUCGUCUUAAGUGUUUAUAGCCUCUUGCCUAUGCAGUCGGAGAGAUUGAGGUCUGCAGCGUAGAUCCUUCGGGGCUAAAUGCAUUUGUGCUAAGUUAUAGCAUUUUAUAGACAACUUGUUGACUAUGAUUUGUCUUGUAGCUUACUCGCUUAUGUUAUUUUACCUACGCUUAGGAUGUUGACUGAUAUGUAGUCGUA